rnacentral:ncRNA from 2 species
AAUAUAUUCGUAGAGUUAGGUGCUCGUUCGUUGAGUGAAAAGGGAAUUCGGUGUGAACCCGAAGCUGUUUCCGCAACUGUAAAUGCUGAUGAAAUAAGGAUACCACUGUCCAUUUGGAUGGGAAGGUCUUAGAGUAAAUGGAAGCAUAAGCCAGGAUACCUGCCUAACUUGAACGUAUAGG